rnacentral:misc_RNA from 1 species
AAAGGAUCUGAAACUGAGAAAAGCGAAGAAAUGUUUGUAUCCCAAGUUGUUGGUAUUGUGUCUAAAACUGCAUUGGAUAGUGAUGGUCUGCCUACAACUUUGUCAGUGACGGAGGAUGAUAAGAUUGAAGGUGUUUCUGAGAAGAGCACUCAUAGCAUGUUGGGAGCAGUGGGUGAAUCUAGGUCUGAAAUAGAAGACAAUCAUCGGUUGGCUGAAUCUCAGGUUGAUAUGAUAGGGCCCGAAUCUUCUCAGGUUGAUGGGAUAGAGCCAGAAGAUUCCCAGGUUGGUGGUAUUGUGCCUGAUGAUAAAUCCGGAAACGUCAUCAUACCUACAUUGUCUAUAUCAAUGAUGCAUGAAGAGGAUAUUGAGGAUACUCCAUGCAAGGUUCCAGAGGGAUCAAAAAUGUCUGAAUCUGAAAUAGAUGGACAAACAAAGCAUGGUGGGAUGGCUGAAAAGUUAGACCUGCCUUAUUCUCUAGUGACAGAGGGGGCAGGAGUACCCUUCUCAUCUGAGAAGGGUACAGUCGACAGCUUAAUAGCAUCCAUGGAUUCAAAAGGAUCUGAAAUUGAAGUGGGUGAUCAAGUAUCUCAUUCUGAGGAUGGUGGAAGUGUGCCAGAGAAAGUAUCUGCGGAUAUGGGCUUGCCUUCAUCUUCAUUAGUGAUACUGGAUGAUAAGACUGAGGAACCAUCUGGAAAAGAUACAGUUGGCACCUCAGUAGCUCGGGAGAAAUCACAAGAAUCUCUAGCUGAGUAAGUUCUAUGAAUUAAGAAAUUUGUUGUAUAGCUGUAUUGUAAUUUCCUAAUAUCUAUAAGCUGACAGUCAUGGAGUUGAAUUGACACAUUUAGUUCCCAAGUAUUGCAGUUCCCUGUAAAACUAAUUUAAUUGCAUUGGUUACAGAGUUGCUGUAUUCAAAUUAUCUAAAUUCUGCUGGAAUUUCUGCUUGGUUUUGUAAUUACAGUUUUUGCCGUGAUUGCAGCCAUUACGAAGCACCUUUUUAGUGCAGGACAGGAUUCCCAAGGCAUCGAUUCAAUCUGGAUUGACUUGGGAUAUGAAGAAACUUGUUAUAUUGAAAUUUGGAUACGUGUAUGUAUGAAUUUAAUCUACUCAAUGUUGUUAUUUCCAUCCUUUUGCAGACUUAAAGAACCUGUAUGGUGCUUGUGAUAUUUCUAAUAUGGCAAAGAAGUUUGGGCAGCGAAGAUGGUGUUAACCUGGAAUGGUUUAUACUGUUUGAACACAUGAGGGGAGUCUGAGAAACUAAAAUCUUCACAUUUGACCACAAGAAUUUUGGUUUGCCCGGCAUCCAUGCAGGCAUGGCUCGUCUAUAUUUUUCUUUUGAUGUGUGUAUAUGUAUUCCUUUUUCUCUCUUAACUAUUAACAUCAAUACAUCGAGUUGAAUUGGCCUCCUCUAACUGCAUAGGCGGAUGGAGUUGUGUUUUUAGCCAUUGCAUUGAGCAAGAUCACGAUCUUCAUCUUCUAUUGAAAUGAGACAGACAGAUGGUGAGUUUUCAGUCAUCUUUAAUUUUCAUGUCAUCUCUUCUAACUUUGUGGUUCUAUGUUACUGUUUUAACUAUUGCUCCCGUUUCUCUUUCUAGCUCUUGGUUUCGUUUGUUUUUAAAAAUAGAUCUUGUUAUCAUCGACUUCUCUAUACAACACUCUGAUAAAUGUUUUGAUUAUCUUUAAUUCAUUAUUUUGAGUUGGAUUUAAAUUGAAUUGAAUUGAAAUUGAAAUAUCAAAAAUUGAAUUAAAAUUAGUAUUGAAACGUGGAAGAAUCAAAUUAAAAUGCUAUAUGAUUUUAAUUUCUAAGCAAACUCCAAAUUGAAGCCUCACACAAGCGGAGUAAAAUAGAUAAUUGCAAUUGCAAUGCCUUGGAUAUUACAGGCGUUUCACUCGUUUCCUGUAUUACUGUCUACUCACAGGUAAGCAAAGUACGUAAUAUGAUGUUUUGCUGAAUUUAAGUGGUGUGUAUGAUUUCUACCUGUCAUGAAUUAACACUAUGUGGCGAGUGCCUUGUAAUUUAAGUGAUAGGAAUCAAGGUUAAGUGACUGUAUAUAAAUAACAUUUAGAGACAAGGAGUUGCAAAAAAGGGAAAAAAAAAAGUUUCUGUGGAUUCACUUCCAUUUCGGUUAUCA